rnacentral:rRNA from 1 species
CCUACGGGUGGCAGCAGUGGGGAAUAUUGCACAAUGGGGGAAACCCUGAUGCAGCAACGCCGCGCGGGUGAAGAAGUCUUUCGGUAUGUAAAGCCCUAUCAGCAGGGACGAGAAUGACGUUACCUGACUAAGAAGCCCCGGCUAACUACGUGCCAGCAGCCGCGGGAAUACGUAGGGGGCAAGCGUUAUCCGGAUUUAGUGGGUGUAAAGGGAGCGUAGACGGUUGUGCAAGUCUGAAGUGAAAGCCCGCGGCUCAACUGCGGAACGGCUUUGGAAACUGUGUAACUGGAGUGCUGGAGAGAUAAGCGGAAUUCAUGGUGUAGCGGUGAAAUGCGUAGAGAUCAGAAGGAACACCGGCGGCGAAGGCGGCUUACGGGACAGUAACUGACGUUGAGGCUCGAAAGCGUGGAGAGCAAACAGGAUUAGAAACCCUAGUAGUC